rnacentral:rRNA from 1 species
AACGAACGCUGGCGGCAUGCCUAACACAUGCAAGUCGAACGAGACCUUCGGGUCUAGUGGCGCACGGGUGCGUAACGCGUGGGAACCUGCCCUUAGGUUCGGAAUAACUCCCCGAAAGGGGUGCUAAUACCGGAUAAUGUCUUCGGACCAAAGAUUUAUCGCCUUUGGAUGGGCCCGCGUUGGAUUAGCUAGUUGGUAGGGUAAAAGCCUACCAAGGCGACGAUCCAUAGCUGGUCUGAGAGGAUGAUCAGCCACACUGGGACUGAGACACGGCCCAGACUCAUCCGGGAGGCAGCAGUGGGGAAUAUUGGACAAUGGCCGAAAGCUUGAUCCACUAAUGCCCCGUGGAUGAUAAAGGCAUUAGGGUGAUAAAGCUCUUUUCCCCGGGAUGAUAAGGACAGUACCGGAAGAAUAAGCUCCGGCUAACUCCGUG